AGUGAACGCUGGCGGCAGGCCUAACACAUGCAAGUCGAACGGCAGCACAAGAGAGCUUGCUCUCUGGGUGGCGAGUGGCGGACGGGUGAGGAAUGCAUCGGAAUCUGCCCAUUUGUGGGGGAUAACCUCGGGAAACCGGGACUAAUACCGCAUACGACCUACGGGUGAAAGCAGGGGAUCUUCGGACCUUGCGCAGAUGGAUGAGCCGAUGCCGGAUUAGCUAGUUGGAGGGGUAAAGGCCCACCAAGGCGACGAUCCGUAGCUGGUCUGAGAGGAUGAUCAGCCACACUGGGACUGAGACACGGCCCAGACUCCUACGGGAGGCAGCAGUGGGGAAUAUUGGACAAUGGGCGCAAGCCUGAUCCAGCCAUGCCGCGGGUGUGAAGAAGGCCUUCGGGUUGUAAAGCACUUUUGUUGGGAAAGAAAAGCAGCCGGUUAAUACCCGGUUGUCAGGACGGUACCCAAAGAAUAAGCACCGGCUAACUUCGU
rnacentral:rRNA from 1 species